GUCGAGGGGCAGCAUGGUCUUAGCUUGCUAAGGCUGAUGGCGACCGGCGCACGGGUGAGUAACACGUAUCCAACCUGCCGUCUACUCUUGGCCAGCCUUCUGAAAGGAAGAUUAAUCCAGGAUGGGAUCAUGAGUUCACAUGUCCGCAUGAUUAAAGGUAUUUUCCGGUAGACGAUGGGGAUGCGUUCCAUUAGAUAGUAGGCGGGGUAACGGCCCACCUAGUCAACGAUGGAUAGGGGUUCUGAGAGGAAGGUCCCCCACAUUGGAACUGAGACACGGUCCAAACUCCUACGGGAGGCAGCAGUGAGGAAUAUUGGUCAAUGGGCGAUGGCCUGAACCAGCCAAGUAGCGUGAAGGAUGACUGCCCUAUGGGUUGUAAACUUCUUUUAUAAAGGAAUAAAGUCGGGUAUGCAUACCCGUUUGCAUGUACUUUAUGAAUAAGGAUCGGCUAACUCCGUGCCAGCAGCCGCGGUAAUACGGAGGAUCCGAGCGUUAUCCGGAUUUAUUGGGUUUAAAGGGAGCGUAGAUGGAUGUUUAAGUCAGUUGUGAAAGUUUGCGGCUCAACCGUAAAAUUGCAGUUGAUACUGGAUGUCUUGAGUGCAGUUGAGGCAGGCGGAAUUCGUGGUGUAGCGGUGAAAUGCUUAGAUAUCACGAAGAACUCCGAUUGCGA
rnacentral:rRNA from 1 species